rnacentral:rRNA from 1 species
GUGAGGAAUAUUGCGCAAUGGAGGCAACUCUGACGCAGCCAUGCCGCGUGCAGGAAGAAGGCGCUACGCGUUGUAAACUGCUUUUAACCGGGAAGAAACCCCAGGACGUGUCCUGGGUUGACGGUACCGGAGGAAUAAGCACCGGCUAACUUCGUGCCAGCAGCCGCGGUAAUACGAAGGGUGCAAGCGUUAUCCGGAUUAAUUGGGUUUAAAGGGUGCGUAGGCGGAGCGUUAAGUCAGUGGUGAAGUCCUGCAGCUUAACUGUAGACUUGCCAUAGAUACUGGCGCUCUUGAGUGCGCUUGAAGUGGGCGGAAUGUGCCGUGUAGCGGUGAAAUGCUUAGAUAUGGCACAGAACACCAAUUGCGAAGGCAGCUCACUAAAGCGAUACUGACGCUGAGGCACGAAAGCGUGGGGAGCAAACAGGAUUAGAAACCCCUGUAGUCC